UUAAACAUGAGAGUUUGAUCCUGGCUCAGAAUCAACGCUGGCGGCGUGCCUAACACAUGCAAGUCGAACGCGAAAGCGGCUUCGGCCGCAAGUAGAGUGGCAAACGGGUGAGUAACGCGUGGGUGACCUACCUUCGAGUGGGGGAUAACGUUCCGAAAGGGGCGCUAAUACCCCAUAACAUCCUGUCUUUGGAAAGACGGUGAUCAAAGCUGGGGAUCGUAAGACCUGGCACUUGAUGAGGGGCCCGCGUCCGAUUAGCUUGUUGGUGGGGUAAUGGCCUACCAAGGCGACAAUCGGUAUCCGGCCUAAGAGGGCGGACGGACACACUGGGACUGAGACACGGCCCAGACUCCUACGGGCGGCAGCAGUGGGGAAUAUUGCGCAAUGGGGGAAACCCUGACGCAGCAACGCCGCGUGUGUGAAGAAGGCUUUCGGGUCGUAAAGCACUGUUGAGUAGGAAGAGACGGUUUCGGUUAAUAUCCGAGACCCCGACGGUACUACUCGAGGAAGCACCGGCUA
rnacentral:rRNA from 1 species